GCUGAACUAACUGAGCCACCCGGGUGCCCCGAUGGUGCUAUAUGGCUUUAACUUCCAAGAACCUCAAAUCCAGUUUCUGAAGUGGAAGUCAUGUUUACAGUCCGGAGAAGUGAUCAGAUGUCUGCCAUUCCUGAGAUUUCUGAUACUGGGAACCUUACUUAAAUGCGUUCUCAGUUUCCUCCCUGGUCCAUGGGAAGCAAGAAUUAACUGGAACCCAUGCCCCGCAGUAGUGUUCUCAAAAAACCAGUGGAAGAACAUGCAGCAACUCCAGGUGCAGUGUAUCAAACCGACAGUUUUGACAAUCAGGGG